rnacentral:rRNA from 1 species
UACGUAGGGGGCUAGCGUUGUCCGGAAUCAUUGGGCGUAAAGAGCGUGUAGGCGGUCCGGUAAGUCCGUUGUGAAAGUCAGGGGCUCAACCCUUGAAUGCCGGCGGAUACUGUCGGGCUAGAGUCCGGAAGAGGCGAGUGGAAUUCCCGGUGUAGCGGUGAAAUGCGCAGAUAUCGGGAGGAACACCAGUAGCGAAGGCGGCUCGCUGGGCCAUUCCUGACGCUGAGACGCGAAAGCUAGGGGAGCGAACAGG